rnacentral:rRNA from 1 species
GACGUAGGGCGCGAGCGUUGUCCGGAUUUAUUGGGCGUAAAGAGCUCGUAGGCGGUCUGUCGCGUCGGCUGUGAAAUCCCGAGGCUCAACCUCGGGUCUGCAGUCGAUACGGGCAAACUAGAGUAUUGCAGGGGAGACUGGAAUUCCUGGUGUAGCGGUGAAAUGCGCAGAUAUCAGGAGGAACACCGGUGGCGAAGGCGGGUCUCUGGGCAAUAACUGACGCUGAGGAGCGAAAGCGUGGGGAGCAAACAGG